GUGCUCGCUUCAGCAGCACAUAUACUAAAAUUGGAAUGAUAACAGAGAUUAUUAGCAUGACCCCUGCACAAUCACUGAGUUCAUGCUUUACAUGUGUUA
ensembl:snRNA U6 U6 spliceosomal RNA